GUGAGUAACGCGUAAGUAACCUACCCCCUUAUUGGGGAUAACAGUUCGAAAGGGCUGCUAAUACCGAAUAAUCUCCGAUAAUGCGAGUUAUUGGAGGAAAGGUAACCUCUUGAUAAAGUUACCGUAGAGGGAGGGGCUUGCGUACCAUUAGCUAGUUGGCGAGGUAACGGCUCCCCAAGGCGACGAUGGUUAGCGGGUCUGAGAGGAUGAUCCGCCACACUGGAACUGAAACACGGACCAGACUCCUACGGGAGGCAGCAGUGAGGAAUAUUGCGCAAUGGGGGCAACCCUGACGCAGCGACGCCGCGUGAGUGAAGAAGGCCUUUGGGUUGUAAAGCUCUGUCGGGAGGGAAGAAAUGCUUGGCGGUUAAUAGCCGUCAGGUUUGACGGUACCUUCAAAGGAAGCACCGGCUAACUCCGUGCCAGCAGCCGCGGUAAUACGGAGGGUGCGAGCGUUAAUCGGAAUUACUGGGCGUAAAGGGCGCGUAGGCGGCCCGGCAAGUCAGAUGUGAAAGCCCACGACUCAAUCGUGUGAAGUGCAUUUGAAACUAUCGGGCUUGAGUACCGGCGGGGGAGAUGGAAUUCCCGGUGUAGAGGUGAAAUUCGUAGAUAUCGGGAGGAAUACCGGUGGCGAAGGCGAUCUUCUGGACGGAUACUGACGCUGAGGCGCGAAAGCGUGGGGAGCAAACAGGAUUAGAUACCCU
rnacentral:rRNA from 1 species